rnacentral:rRNA from 1 species
CCGAUAGUGAACCAGUACCGUGAGGGAAAGGCGAAAAGAACCCCGGCGAGGGGAGUGAAAAAGAACCUGAAACCGUGUACGUACAAGCAGUGGGAGCCUCUUUAUGGGGUGACUGCGUACCUUUUGUAUAAUGGGUCAGCGACUUAUAUUCUGUAGCAAGGUUAACCGAAUAGGGGAGCCGAAGGGAAACCGAGUCUUAACUGGGCGUUAAGUUGCAGGGUAUAGACCCGAAACCCGGUGAUCUAGCCAUGGGCAGGUUGAAGGUUGGGUAACACUAACUGGAGGACCGAACCGACUAAUGUUGAAAAAUUAGCGGAUGACUUGUGGCUGGGGGUGAAAGGCCAAUCAAACCGGGAGAUAGCUGGUUCUCCCCGAAAGCUAUUUAGGUAGCGCCUCGUGAAUUCAUCUCCGGGGGUAGAGCACUGUUUCGGCAAGGGGGUCAUCCCGACUUACCAACCCGAUGCAAACUGCGAAUACCGGAGAAUGUUAUCACGGGAGACACACGGCGGGUGCUAACGUCCGUCGUGAAGAGGGAAACAACCCAGACCGCCAGCUAAGGUCCCAAAGUCAUGGUUAAGUGGGAAACGAUGUGGGAAGGCCCAGACAGCCAGGAUGUUGGCUUAGAAGCAGCCAUCAUUUAAAGAAAGCGUAAUAGCUCACUGGUCGAGUCGGCCUGCGCGGAAGAUGUAACGGGGCUAAACCAUGCACCGAAGCUGCGGCAGCGACGCUUAUGCGUUGUUGGGUAGGGGAGCGUUCUGUAAGCCUGUGAAGGUGUACUGUGAGGUAUGCUGGAGGUAUCAGAAGUGCGAAUGCUGACAUAAGUAACGAUAAAGCGGGUGAAAAGCCCGCUCGCCGGAAGACCAAGGGUUCCUGUCCAACGUUAAUCGGGGCAGGGUGAGUCGACCCCUAAGGCGAGGCCGAAAGGCGUAGUCGAUGGGAAACAGGUUAAUAUUCCUGUACUUGGUGUUACUGCGAAGGGGGGACGGAGAAGGCUAUGUUGGCCGGGCGACGGUUGUCCCGGUUUAAGCGUGUAGGCUGGUUUUCCAGGCAAAUCCGGAAAAUCAAGGCUGAGGCGUGAUGACGAGGCACUACGGUGCUGAAGCAACAAAUGCCCUGCUUCCAGGAAAAGCCUCUAAGCAUCAGGUAACAUCAAAUCGUACCCCAAACCGACACAGGUGGUCAGGUAGAGAAUACCAAGGCGCUUGAGAGAACUCGGGUGAAGGAACUAGGCAAAAUGGUGCCGUAACUUCGGGAGAAGGCACGCUGAUAUGUAGGUGAAGCGACUUGCUCGUGGAGCUGAAAUCAGUCGAAGAUACCAGCUGGCUGCAACUGUUUAUUAAAAACACAGCACUGUGCAAACACGAAAGUGGACGUAUACGGUGUGACGCCUGCCCGGUGCCGGAAGGUUAAUUGAUGGGGUUAGCGGUAACGCGAAGCUCUUGAUCGAAGCCCCGGUAAACGGCGGCCGUAACUAUAACGGUCCUAAGGUAGCGAAAUUCCUUGUCGGGUAAGUUCCGACCUGCACGAAUGGCGUAAUGAUGGCCAGGCUGUCUCCACCCGAGACUCAGUGAAAUUGAACUCGCUGUGAAGAUGCAGUGUACCCGCGGCAAGACGGAAAGACCCCGUGAACCUUUACUAUAGCUUGACACUGAACAUUGAGCCUUGAUGUGUAGGAUAGGUGGGAGGCUUUGAAGUG